GAGUUUGAUCAUGGCUCAGGACGAACGCUGGCGGCGUGCUUAACACAUGCAAGUCGAGCGGAAAGGCCCUUCGGGGUACUCGAGCGGCGAACGGGUGAGUAACACGUGAGCAACCUGCCCUAGGCUUUGGGAUAACCCUCGGAAACGGGGGCUAAUACCGAAUAUUACUUGGUCUCGCAUGAGGUUGGGUGGAAAGUUUUUCGGCCUAGGAUGGGCUCGCGGCCUAUCAGCUUGUUGGUGGGGUAAUGGCCUACCAAGGCGACGACGGGUAGCCGGCCUGAGAGGGCGACCGGCCACACUGGGACUGAGACACGGCCCAGACUCCUACGGGAGGCAGCAGUGGGGAAUAUUGCACAAUGGGCGGAAGCCUGAUGCAGCGACGCCGCGUGAGGGAUGACGGCCUUCGGUUGUAACCGUCUUUCUAGCAGGGACGAAGCGAGAGUGACGGUA
rnacentral:rRNA from 1 species